GAUGGAGUAUAUUGCUCUUUUUGUCCAACUAUCCGCUUUUUUCAGGGGGGCGUUGGGGAGAUUGCAGAUGAGGAGUUGGCAGAUUUGGUUGAUUUGGGGGCUCACACAGAACAAAACCAAGGCCCCCCUCACUGGAUAAAGACGAAACUGAAAGACAAAAUUGAAAGAAAAGACAACCUUUCUCAUCUUGCCCC
rnacentral:ribozyme from 1 species